ensembl:lncRNA
UGGGUCAGUCUCUCCUGGGAGUCGUGGUUUCAAAACUGCAGUGUCUGGAGCUGCACUGUCCGGGGCAGUGGUCAUGGGCCACAGGUAGCUAUGGACCGCUGGAGAUGUGGCUCGUCCUAACUGCACUGGCAUCUCUGUUCACUGGCACAGACACAUUUACAGAUGCGCUGUGUUCUUGGUGGACUGACCCUUUUAUCAUAGCAUCACGGUAAAUUGGGAUCUAGAAGAGCUCAACUCUUUUACAGUAACAGGAAGUGUGAAGUGAAAGCCUCUCAGUCAUGUCCAACUCUUUGUGACCCCAUGGACUAUACCGUCCAUGGAAUUCUCCAGGCCAGAAUACUGGAGUGGGUAGCCUUUCCCUUCUCCAGAGGAUCUUCCCAACCCAAGGAUCAAACCCAGGUCUCCCGCGUUGCAGGCGAAUUCUUUACCAGCUGAGCCACAAGGGAAGUCCAUAAUAACAGGAAGAAGAUCCUAAAGGAGAAGGAUGGUUAAUAAGCAGUGGCUGCUUUCUAUGUACCCAGCUGCCUAAAGAUACAGCUGUGAACUCAUUUUACAGGCCUGUCCCUUGGCAGCUGUUUCGCAGCGAGACCGUGGAAGGUGAAAGUCAGAGGGACCCACGCUGGGGCCACGCUGCCAGAUUCCAAAUCCUGUCUGGAUUAGCCAGGUGACCUCAGCAUGUUACUCAGCUUCUUCCGUUUAUUCUUCACUUAUAAAAUGGGCAUAAUGCUGGACUUGCUUCAUAGAGCUGCUAGAAAAUUGAGUGAUCUGUGUGCACAUUAAAGAGUGGAAGUGCUGGACUAAAGGGUAGUAACUCUCCCAGCAUCCAGGACAGCAUGAUGGCUCACCUGGGAUGAAAACCCAGGCUCCAAGCCUCCCAGAGAAGUGCUUUUCUGACAGCGUUGCUACACUCUCUGCACUUUAGCUGACCUAAAGUAGGCACAUACAUCCUCUCAGUCAGCUCCCAGGUGACAUCCACGUUCUCACCCUGAAG